CAUUGACUCUGUACAGGUACCCCCUGUAUAUAGCCUCCACAUUGACUCUGUACAGGUACCCCCUGUAUAUAGCCUCCACAUUGACUCUGUACAGGUACCCCCUGUAUAUAGCCUCCACAUUGACUCUGUACAGGUACCCCCUGUAUAUAGCCUCCACAUUGACUCUGUACAGGUACCCCCUGUAUAUAGCCUCCACAUUGACUCUGUACAGGUACCCCCUGUAUAUAGCCUCCACAUUGACUCUGUACAGGUACCCCCUGUAUAUAGCCUCCACAUUGACUCUGUACCGGUACCCCCUGUAUAUAGCCUCCACAUUGACUCUGUACAGGUACCCCCUGUAUAUAGCCUCCACAUUGACUCUGUACAGGUACCCCCUGUAUAUAGCCUCCACAUUGACUCUGUACAGGUACCCCCUGUAUAUAGCCUCCACAUUGACUCUGUACAGGUACCCCCUGUAUAUAGCCUCCACAUUGACUCUGUACAGGUACCCCCUGUAUAUAGCCUCCACAUUGACUCUGUACAGGUACCCCCUGUAUAUAGCCUCCACAUUGACUCUGUACCGGUACCCCCUGUAUAUAGCCUCCACAUUGACUCUGUACAGGUACCCCCUGUAUAUAGCCUCCACAUUGACUCUGUACCGGUACCCCCUGUAUAUAGCCUCCACAUUGACUCUGUACAGGUACCCCCUGUAUAUAGCCUCCACAUUGACUCUGUACCGGUACCCCUGUAUAUAGCCUCCACAUUGACUCUGUACAGGUACCCCUGUAUAUAGCCUCCACA